rnacentral:rRNA from 1 species
CUCAGGACGAACGCUGGCGGCGUGCCUAAUACAUGCAAGUCGAACGAACUCUGGUAUUGAUUGGUGCUUGCAUCAUGAUUUACAUUUGAGUGAGUGGCGAACUGGUGAGUAACACGUGGGAAACCUGCCCAGAAGCGGGGGAUAACACCUGGAAACAGAUGCUAAUACCGCAUAACAACUUGGACCGCAUGGUCCGAGUUUGAAAGAUGGCUUCGGCUAUCACUUUUGGAUGGUCCCGCGGCGUAUUAGCUAGAUGGUGGGGUAACGGCUCACCAUGGCAAUGAUACGUAGCCGACCUGAGAGGGUAAUCGGCCACAUUGGGACUGAGACACGGCCCAAACUCCUACGGGAGGCAGCAGUAGGGAAUCUUCCACAAUGGACGAAAGUCUGAUGGAGCAACGCCGCGUGAGUGAAGAAGGGUUUCGGCUCGUAAAACUCUGUUGUUAAAGAAGAACAUAUCUGAGAGUAACUGUUCAGGUAUUGACGGUAUUUAACCAGAAAGCCACGGCUAACUACGUGCCAGCAGCCGCGGUAAUACGUAGGUGGCAAGCGUUGUCCGGAUUUAUUGGGCGUAAAGCGAGCGCAGGCGGUUUUUUAAGUCUGAUGUGAAAGCCUUCGGCUCAACCGAAGAAGUGCAUCGGAAACUGGGAAACUUGAGUGCAGAAGAGGACAGUGGAACUCCAUGUGUAGCGGUGAAAUGCGUAGAUAUAUGGAAGAACACCAGUGGCGAAGGCGGCUGUCUGGUCUGUAACUGACGCUGAGGCUCGAAAGUAUGGGUAGCAAACAGGAUUAGAUACCCUGGUAGUCCAUACCGUAAACGAUGAAUGCUAAGUGUUGGAGGGUUUCCGCCCUUCAGUGCUGCAGCUAACGCAUUAAGCAUUCCGCCUGGGGAGUACGGCCGCAAGGCUGAAACUCAAAGGAAUUGACGGGGGCCCGCACAAGCGGUGGAGCAUGUGGUUUAAUUCGAAGCUACGCGAAGAACCUUACCAGGUCUUGACAUACUAUGCAAAUCUAAGAGAUUAGACGUUCCCUUCGGGGACAUGGAUACAGGUGGUGCAUGGUU